rnacentral:ribozyme from 12 species
CAGCCGGCAAACAAGAAACAAAAGAAAAAAAAGAAGAAGAAAAAUAAAACAAUGACGAUAAAUACAACCCUUUUUUUCACUCUCGUUCUCACGUAUAAACCCAUUUGGUU